rnacentral:Y_RNA from 1 species
GGCUGGUCCAGUUGGUGGUGUUCACAACUAAUUGAUCACAACCAGCUACAGAUUCCUUUGUUCCUUCUUCACUCCUACUGCUUCAUUUGACUAGCCUAAA